rnacentral:rRNA from 1 species
UACGAAGGGGGCUAGCGUUGCUCGGAAUGACUGGGCGUAAAGGGCGCGUAGGCGGCUCAUACAGUCAGGCGUGAAAUUCCUGGGCUCAACCUGGGGACUGCGCUUGAGACGUGUGGGCUUGAGUGGGGAAGAGGGUCGUGGAAUUCCCAGUGUAGAGGUGAAAUUCGUAGAUAUUGGGAAGAACACCGGUGGCGAAGGCGGCGACCUGGUCCUUGACUGACGCUGAGGCGCGAUAGCGUGGGGAGCAAACAGG